GUGCCAGCAGCCGCGGUAAUACCGGCAGCCCGAGUGAUGGCCGAUCUUAUUGGGCCUAAAGCGUCCGUAGCUGGCUGCGCAAGUCCAUCGGGAAAUCCACUCGCUCAACGAGUGGCCGUCCGUCGGAAACUGCACACCUUGGGACCGGAAGGCUCGAAGGGUACGUCCGGGGUAGGAGUGAAAUCCUAUAAUCCCGCACGGACCACCGAUGGCGAAAGCACUUCGAGAAAACGGAUCCGACAGUGAGGGACGAAAGCUAAGAUCUCGAACCGGAUUAGAUACCCGGGUAGUCC
rnacentral:rRNA from 1 species